rnacentral:lncRNA from 1 species
GCCCCGCCCCUCCUCGAGCCGCGGCGGUCGGGGCCGCCCACGAAGGGGCUGCAUUUUUCAUCUGCAGCACGCUUUCUCUCAAGAAUCUCAAGCACACACAAGAAACCAGAGAGUAAAAUCACUGAGGCGUGAACACAUCCAGAGACCAAGGGCGUCACUGGCAGAAAAGCUUUUAGGCGGAUCCACGGCCCGAGAGCCACCCUGCCCAGAGACGCGGUUUCCUAGGAGCAGUUCACACGCGGCUCUGCAGCACCCACAAGCGGGGCCAGGGGCUGGUUUUCAUAGUUCACAGUCUGCAGGGAUCUUAACAAAAACAUGGCCGUGGUAAAAGUGCCUAGACCAGGCUUUCGUCACAACUCAUCAUGUUACUAGGUUAGGAUAAUAAAAAGGACUGUGAACUUCACAUCUGCCAUCUAUAAUAGAUUCUUAUUGUAGCAAUCUUGCACCAAGGGGAUUUCUUUAUUAACUCUGCCAAAUUUUCCAAAAUUACCAAAUGGAGAAAAGAGCUGGUCCCAUCUGUCACCAGGCACAACCAGUUUGGAACCAAAACUGCAGUGUCCCCAAGGCAUGCCUGUAGGUAAACAUGAGUCCAUACUGAUAAAUGAUCGAAUAAACAGGAGAGAAGAAACAAAUCUUCAAGAAGAAUAACAUGCACAGAUACUGCUCUCUCCAGGGGUUGGAGCUGAAACCUCCUCAACCCACAGAGUAUGGAAAGGGAAAAACAGGAACUUGACAGUGGAGAAAUCUGGCAGACACCACUGUGACCAGGUGGCCAAGGUCAGCACUGCCUGGGAUAGGUCGUGUGGUGGUUACAACCACCCAGUAGGAUGUGAUGAGAAAGGUGCUUGAGAAACACAUCAAACUCCAAUUGAGGGACAUUCUACAGACUACCUGGCCAGUACUCCUCAAAACUGUCAAGGUCAUGAGAAACAAGGGAAGUCUGAGAAACUGUCACAGGCAAGAGAACGCAAAGGAGAUGGGAUGACUAAAUGCAGUAUGUGCCUGGAUGGGACUCUGGGACAGAAAGCAGACAUUACGGAAAAACUGGUGAAAUCCAAAUCAAGGCUGGAUUUUAGUGAAUGGACACUAACAAUGUUGGUUUCUUAGUCAUGACAAAUGUACCAUGGGAAGAGAAGAGGUUACCAAUGGGGGAAACUAGGUGAGGGGCACACAUAAGCUCUCUGUACUAUCUCUGCCAUUUUUCUGUAAAUCAAAAAUUAGUCCAAAAUAAAAGUUUAUUGGAAAAGAAAAAAAAAGACAUAACA